rnacentral:rRNA from 1 species
GCCCCAGUAACGGCGAGUGAAGCGGCAACAGCUCAAAUUUGAAAUCUGGCCCCCGGGUCCGAGUUGUAAUUUGCAGAGGAUGCUUUGGGCGAGGUUCCUUCCGAGUUCCCUGGAACGGGACGCCACAGAGGGUGAGAGCCCCGUCUGGUCGGACACCGAGCCCGUGUAAAGCUCCUUCGACGAGUCGAGUAGUUUGGGAAUGCUGCUCAAAAUGGGAGGUAUAUGUCUUCUAAAGCUAAAUAUUGGCCAGAGACCGAUAGCGCACAAGUAGAGUGAUCGAAAGAUGAAAAGCACUUUGAAAAGAGGGUUAAAAAGUACGUGAAAUUGUUGAAAGGGAAGCGCCUAUGACCAGACUUGCGCCCGGUGAAUCAUCCAGCGUUCUCGCUGGUGCACUUCGCCGGGCACAGGCCAGCAUCAGUUUGGCGCGGGGGACAAAGGCUUCGGGAACGUGGCUCCCUCGGGAGUGUUAUAGCCCGCUGCGUAAUACCCUGCGCCGGACUGAGGUACGCGCAUCGCAAGGAUGCUGGCGUAAUGGUCAUCGGCGACCCGUCUUGAAACACGGACCAAGGAGUCGUCUUCGUAUGCGAGUGUUCGGGUGUUAAACCCCUACGCGGAAUGAAAGUGAACGUAGGUGAGAGCUUCGGCGCAUCAUCGACCGAUCCUGAUGUUCUCGGAUGGAUUUGAGUAAGAGCAUACGGGGCCGGACCCGAAAGAAGGUGAACUAUGCCUGUAUAGGGUGAAGCCAGAGGAAACUCUGGUGGAGGCUCGCAGCGGUUCUGACGUGCGAAUCGAUCGUCAAAUAUGGGCAUGGGGGCGAAAGAC